CCUCCCGGCCGCGCGCCGCGAGCCUCUGGGCGCUGCUCGGCCGGAGUUGCCGCCAGCCGCCGGCGGGAGCCGCGCGGGGGCAGCGCCGAGCGCGAUUCCGUGCGCGGCCAAGCGCCCAGGUGGAGGAGGGCGACGCCCGGCAGACGCGGAAGCCCCGGGGCUGCUGUAUUGUUUCCCUUUCAUCUGGGAUGAAUUCAUCAGCUGAAUCUGGAUCUUGUUCUCUUCUUAGAGGAACCUGCUUUGGAAUUGCGGCUUGCAGGCUCAUCUUAAGCAAGAGAUGAGGAGCCUGGAGGUCGGGGAGGGUAAGGACUCGCCAGGGCCGCGGAGCCCCCCGGGAGCGCACCGGGCUGUCUCCCGGUCAUCAGCCACCAGAGCACUGAGGUCCCGACAAUGCAGGCUAUUUUUAAAACGUGGAAAAGAAAAAGGAAAGGACAAGAAAUCCAGCCAGUCAUGGAGGACGAGAACGCAUGGAUUCUACAGCAAGCGCAGUGGACCACGGCCCACCAUUAGUCCGUAACCUGACUGCCAGGCCACGUGGAGACUGUGUGGUAUGCGGCUGCAGCGUGUCGUGUUGUGGUUCUGGCUCGGGCAGUCCCAUGCAACCCUCAGCGGCUGGGACACAAGCUUGAGAGUGCGUGGCCGCUGAGACGGCCGUAGACCAGGGCUGUCACGUGCCGUGGCGAUCAGCAGUCGCCAACCUGCCCCGUGGGGCCACGGGUGCCUGUGACGAUUGACCCCUGCCCCCCAUGUCCUGCGUUUCCAGCCGGCCAGCACCCCCAGCCCUUCUCAGCUGGUGCCGUGCAUAUGCUGUUCCUUGUCGGGGAACACCAUUGUUCUGACCUCCCCCACUACGUGAGCAGACGGGAUGCGGGCAGAGUCGACCUCUUGCUCCCUCAUAUUCCUGUGGGAAACACACGAGUGGCCUGCUGGUCCCAGGAGAAUAGAAGCCAGCAGGACAGACCUGCCCUGAAUCCGUGGCCCAGGGCCAAGCCUGGUGAGAUCUGUCAAACCACAGCCAACCCAGAGAUGCAUGAGUUAGAGGCAAAUUCUUGGUGGCCAAGCUAAGUUUGGGGGUGGUUUGUGAUGCAGAAUUAUCAUGGGAACAGCCAGCUGGUACAGGGUCAUUUCAUCCCUCUACUAGCCCUCGGGGACCAUGUCCAAAUGGCCCUAGGCCAGCUCCGUCUGGGGAGCAGCUCCGUCCAGUGUGGACCUCUGCCCUACCCAAGAAGCCACUUCACCCACCCCCUUGUUCACAGUCUCUUAAAACAUGCCUGUUGAGGUACCAUGGGCCAGUUUGGCAGUAAGUCAAUUAUACUUUCAUAAAAAUGGAAAGAUAACAACCAGAAACCAAAAGACUCCUGACAGCAGCCCAUUGAACAGACACAACUCAAUGAUUUUUUGAAAAUUUACAGGGUUGUGGGACCAGCACCACAUUCCGUCUUCACAUUCUGGUUUUUUAAUGGCUCGAGCUUUUGGUGUCACGUCUGAUAGUUCUUUGCCUCACACAAAGUCACGUCGGUUUCCCCGGGUUUUCCUGUGGAACUUCCAUGGUUUUGGCUGUUACACUGAGGCCCCUGAUCCGUCCUGAGUUAGGAUUCAUGGAGAGGUCUGAGUUUAUUGUUCUCAUACGGAUGUUCAGUUUUCUCAGCAAAUGCAAUUUUCUUUGUGGGAAUGUUUUUAGUUAUAAAUUCAGUUUUCUGCACACGUAUGGGCCUAUUCAUGUUCUCUUCUAUCAAUCUUGACAAAUUGCAUUUUUAAAGGACCUCUCCUCUUUGAGUUGUGAAUUUAUGGCACAGAAUUUCUGCAAUAUUCCAUGAUUGUUCUUUUUUAUUACUUUGGUGUUUUUUUAAAGAUUUUAUUUAUUUAUUUGAGAGAGAGUGAGAGCGAGACAGAGAGAGCGCACAAGCAGGGGGAGUGGGAGAGGGAGAAGCGGACUCUCUGCUGAGCAGGGAGCCUGACGCGGGGCUCGAUCCCAGGACCCUGAGAUCAUGACCUGAGCCGAAGGCAGACGCUAAACGACUGAGCCACCCAGGCGUCCCAUCCUGGUUAUUCUUUUAAUCUCAUUAGGCUCUAUAGUGGUAGCCCCUUUUUCCAUUUCUGAUAUGGCCAUUUUUUUUUUUUGCUUUUUUUUUCUUACUCAAUAAUGCUAGGGUUUUAUUGAUUUUAUUGAUUGUUUUCAAAGGAACAAUGAUUUGCUUUGUUGAUUUUUUUUCUCUCACUUACCAUGCUGUUUCAUAGAUUUCUGCUCUAAUGUCUUUUCCUUCCUUCUACUCACACUGAAUUUAAAUUACUCUUCCUUUUUUAACCCCUUAAGAUAGCACUUAGAUCAUUGAUUUUCAACUUGUCUGAUUUUUUUCUUAUAAGCAUUUAAAAAUAGCUGUAUCCCCCAAAUUUUGUUAUGUUGGUUUUCAUAGUCAUUCAGUUUUAAAUAUGUCCUAAUCUCCUUUGUGAUUUAUUGUUUGGUCUGUGGAUUAUUUCAAGUCCGUUGCUUAAUUUCGAAAUGUGCGUAGACCUUUAGGGCAUCUGUUAUCCCUGGUGCCUUAAUUUGUUGUGUUCAGACGACAUAUCCUGUAUAGUUUCAAAACUUUGAAAUUUACUGAAACUUUUUCUUUUAGUCCUGGGAUAUGGCUUAUCUCCACGGAUAGGCCUUGCACAUUUGAAAGUGAUGUAAACUCUGCAGAGGAUUUGAUGGUAUUCUCUAGAUGCCGGUUAGGGCAAGGUGGAUAAUGGUUUUCCCCAAAAUUCUGCAUCCUUAGUAAUUUUGCAUGUGUGUGUGCUUAUUCUAUCAGUUACCGAGAAAGGGAGAUUUAAGUCUCCUACCACGAUUGGGGCUUGUCUGUUUUUUUCUUGGGCUGUCGUACAAGUCAGGGUUUUCCAAAGAAACAGAACCAAUAGGAUCUAUAGAGAUAUAUAUAGAAAUUGGGUCUUGUGGUUAUGGAGGCUGAGAAGCACCAGGAUCUGCCAUCUGCAAGCCGGAGAACCAGGGGAACUGAGGGCUAACUCCCAGUCUGAAGGCUAAAGGCCUGAUAACCAGGGAAGGGGCUAUGGGACUAUGGGGGCGGCGGGGGUUAGAUGGUGUAAGUCCCAGCGUCUGAAGGCCUGAGAGCCAGGACCUCCAUCCAAUGUCUGAGAACAGGAAAAGGUGGACAGCCUAGCUCCAGAAGAGAGAGAAUUCGGGUCCCCAACAGAUUAGAUGAUGCCCACCCACUUGGGGGUAAGAUAGUCUGCCUUGUUCAGUCUACCAAUUCAAAUAUUAGUCUCUUCCAGAAUCACCUUCAACAGACACACCAAGAAAUAAUGUUUUGCCAUCUGUCUGGGCUUCCCAUAGCCCAGUCGGGUCAACACAUAAAAUGAACCAUCACACGAGUCUACGCCUUGUCACCUCGGCACCAUACGCAUCUCCUUAAACUAUACUUAACCUCCAAGCAAAGACGUAACGAGACCAUAAUUCCACCUAACAUGACUAUCCUACAUACACCCCAAAAUGCGAUGAACCGCUCUGCCGUGGGCAAUGACAGCUGAGCACUUAGCCACCACGAGCAAGGUGGGCGUGCUGACCAUGAUGGAGGGCAGAAGCAAAGCAGCAAUCAGAGUGGUCUGACCUGAGCAGCCCUGUGGUGUUGGCUGGUUUCUAGCGUCUUCCGGUGGAAUAGAUAGGAAGCCAAGUUCUUACUUGAUCUGUGCUGUCAGAGAAGCUCCAGGUCAAGUGAACAGAAGUCUAGCCUGAACCACAAAAAUAGGAGUCAUGGCCACUCAGUAGUUUCCAGACUAGAGCCAGUGUAGACACCCAGAGCCCCCUGAAUGGAGAGGUCCCCUUGAAGAAGGGCUCCAGGACACUACCAGGAAUGUAUAUGUUACCCUUUCUCCCAGAUUUCCCCAAAGGUACUGGUGGCCUUUGACCAGGGGAACUGAGCACUGGGGGGGAAGGAAGGCAUCAGACAUCUUGGGACUCCUGGACACUGGCUCUGAACAGACAUCAAUCCUAGGAGACCCAGAACCUCACGUGGGCCCACUAGUCAGAGUGGGAGCUUAUGGAGGUCAGGUAAUCAGUGGAGUUUUAUCUAUUUAUUUUUUUAAAGAUUUAUUUAUUUUUAGAGCGAGAGAGAGUGCGUGCAUGUGCAUGCAAGCAGGGGGAGCGGCAGAGGGAAAGAGAAUCUCCAGCUGACCCUCCGCUGAGCAGGGAGCCCGAUGCGGGGCUCCAUCCCAGGACCCUGAGAUCAUGACCUGAGCCGAAAUCAAGAGCCAGACGUUUACCCAGCUGAGCCAGGCGCCCCCAUCAGUGGAGUUUUAGGUCGGGCCUGCUCCAGAAGGCACCCUGUGGUCGUGUCCCCAGUUUCAGGGGCGCAACUGGAAUAGACAUACGGAACAGCUGGUGGCACCCCACCUUGCCGCCCAGACCUGCGCAGAGAGGGGAAGACCGAGGGGGCCACAAGAACUUCGUCUUCCUUGGAACAUAGUGCGCCAGAAGCAGCCCUGCCCUCCUGGAGGGGCUGCAGAGAGCAGGGCCACCGGGUGGUGAUCGCCUCCACGUCCCCGCUGAACUCCCCUGUCUGGCCUACGUCUUGGAAAGUGGCAGUGUGUUAUCAUGAGCGUAGCCGGGUGGGACUCCGUCGCAGCUGCUGUACCAGCGUGCAUGUGUUGCUUGAACAGAUCAGCACGCCCCCUUGGCUGGCAUGCUGUCGACUGGGAAAACGCCCUUCUGUCGGCCACCAUCAGUGACGCCCCGGAAGCAGCUGCUUUCAGGCAGCACACCCUCACCGUGGGCUUCAGGGGCGCGUCCCUCUCCAGCCAGUUGUUGUAACUCUGUUUGCCGAGAGCUCGAGCGCCUUUCCCUUCCACAAGAUCUCACACCGGUCCAUUACACUGGUGACAUGAUGCUGCUUGGACCCAGGGAGCAGGAGGUACGAAUACUCUGCGCUUGUUGAUGUUCACGUGUUGGAAGGUGGGAGGUAAAUCGGACUAAAAUUCAACGGCCUUCUACCCCAGUGGCAUUUCUAGGGGCCAGUGGUGUGGGGCAUGCCAAGAUGACCCAUCGAAGGUGAAGAGCACGAGCAGGGGAAGCAGCAGAAGGAGAAGCAGACUCCCCACUGAGCGAAAAGCCCGAUGCGGGACUUGAACCCAGGACCCUGGGAUCAUGACCUCAGCUGAAGGCAGACACCUGACCCACUGAGGCACCCAGGCGCCCCUGAGGAAGGUCUCUUAAGCAGAAAUGAACCAGCCCCUAAUGAUUUGGGAGGUUCUUGGCUCAUCCAGAUUGCAAAGAAUACAAAAAUUGGGAAAUGGACUGUCGGAAAAGCACAUUCUAAACAGAGGGCCAAGGGUGUGCCAGCAAGGCAGCCACUUGCUGGAGAGCUUAGCGGAGCAACUCUGGACCCACCUGGCCAUCUCAGCAGAGCCCAGGGGUACAGGUGUGAUCGUGGGGGAGAGAUCCGCGGAGGGCCCUCCUGUGUGACGGGACACAUACCAGGCCCUUGAGAACACUGGAACAGAAGUCCGCCGGCUGGGACUGGGAGGAACAGAUUCAGGACGCAGGGAAGGACUGCUACGGGACGCACAGAGCUCCACAAGCAGGACAGGGGCUGAUGGAGCCGCUGAGCAGCAAGGACGUGCGGCCUGUCAGGAAGAAAGGAGAACGGCCCCGAGGGUGGUGCGUCCUGUGACAGGAUUCUCCUCGGGCCUCGGAACUUAACUGAAGCUUCCCUGCGAGGUUAUGAAUUUCCUUGGGAAUAGUGACUCCUUCAUUCCUUCAGUUUCUCUUUCUGGGAUGGGGAUGUCCGUCCUGUGCUUGUGCAGUCUGGAAGCAGGGACAGGACACACCCAGAGUCUCACUCGCACCUGAGUCAGAUGGUGACACUGGGGCCCACGAGCGGAUCACACUUAGGUGGGAUUGUAGGCCUGGAGUUCAUACCGCAGUACUGAGGCUUUGGGGGUGCUGGGACACAGUGGAUGUAUUCUGCACACGACAUGGACAUAGAUGUUGGGGGACCAAAGAGUGGACUGUGGCAGGUUUAAUGGUGGGCCCCCCAAAAGAGACGUCCACCCAGAACCUAUGAACAGGACCUUGUUUGGAAAGAGGGCUUUUGCAAUUAAGGAUUGUAAUUAAGGUAAGGAUCUCAAGUUGAUAUCAUCCUGCAUCAAGGUGGGCCCUAAAUCUUACAGCAAAUGUCUUUAAAAGGGAAGCAAAGACAAGGACACAUACAUGAAAUGUGAUGUCUCGAGGCAGGGACGCCUCUGCAAGCCAAGGGACUCCAGGAUCGCCAGGAGCGAUCAGAAGCCUGGAGAUGGGAUGGGUUCUCUCUCAGGACCUCCAGAAUGAACCAGCCCUGCUAACGGCCCAGCCUCCAGAGCUGUGAGAGAAUCCAUUUCUGCUAUUUCCAGCCCCCACUUUGCGAUGCUUUGUUCAGGCAGCCCUGGGAACUGAUGCGUGGGGAGAAUGUUGAUGGCACCCAUUUUCCACUUCCUGCCAGGGACGAGGCUAAACAUGGGCACACAGGUGAGUGCCCCGGGAUCAGAAUCCCUUCGGAGCUUCUGUUUCCCGUUUCCCGGGGCCAUUCUGGUAUCCGUUCCCGAGCAGGAAACUGCACAUGGGAGUCAGGCAGUCUGAGCACAGUUUGAUAAGAGGACUGUUCAUGAAGACGCGGGCAAGCGUCAAUGUCACAACAGUGACCUAAGACGAGACUGCCUGAGAACUGAAGGCUGUGCUGGUCCCAGCCAUGUGACCUUCCCUGACUCAAUGUCAAGGGUACCCCCUCAGGAAGCACAGCUCUUUUUGGACAAAUUAGAGACCAGUGCACGUUCGUGCGAAAUCAACCCCUGGCUAUUCUGCAUUCCCUGUCUCAGGGGGUGCUCACUGUCCCCCAGAGACACGGGCCGCUCCAUGUCCUCGCACGCCAGCUUGUUCCCACCUUGGGGCCAGCAUCCUAGGCCCCAGCCACAGCCUUCAGAGGGCUGCUGGUAUAUGCUCAAGUCUCAGAACCCUGCCUAGCCACCCCAUAAAGUGGCUCCAUGGUCAUACACCGCCCACGGUCCCGUGUGCGCUCCUGCAUGCUUGAUGUGGUAGACAUGUUUACCUGGUACUGAGUCACUGGCUGUCUCCUGUCACCGGAACAGGACAGCCAGCCCUGAGCUAGCUGAUGCUCCUGAUCAGUGUGGGCAGCCAGGGUAGCCAGGGACACUCUGUUGGCCUCAAUGCCCCCUUCCACUCACAGCUGACCCCCAUUCCAGCCUUGCUCCCUCCCGGCCUCCCCUGAAUUCCAUGGUCACCUUUGUGGCUGAGGUGACCUGGUCUGCCUGCGGGUGAGGCAGCCCUAACCUUUUCUGUCUCGUGCCCUGCUGUGGGCCUGCUCCAGCUUGCAUAGCCAGUCCUUGGGUUUCCUGAGACCCCGUCCCAUGGCCAGGCACAGGGGGUUUCCCGGACAGAGCUGUGCCCUGAGCCCCGAGGCCAGCUGGAGGCCCAUCUGCUGUGCUGGUUCCUGCUCUUUUCUGCUUGGGCCUGUGAGGGACCCACAAUCCUAGGGCCCAGGGGUCUUCUGAGAGGUGCUCAGUGUGCCCAGAGGAGGUUCUUCUUAUGUCCUGACCCCAGGGCGGGUGCCUGCUUGGGCAUUUGGGGCUCCCAGUUCAGUGUGCAGAUGUCCCCACUCAUCUCUGCUGGUCCCCUCACUGUCUUCUGUUGGGCCUGGUGCCUCUCAGACAAGUCCUUUCAGAGAAGGACUGUCUGUGCCCAGCUGUCCUCGCUGGAGGUCGCCCUGUGGCUCUACUGCUCCUCUCCCCGCCCCUCUGUGGCCCCGCUCCCAGGGCUCCCUGUUACCUACAAGCCCUCAGUCUCGCCAGUGGUCCCUGUAAUGUUUCCAGCCACUUUCUGAAUCCACUGACAUGUUUUUUCCUUCUAAAGUCUUUUCUCGGGGCGCCUGGGUAGCUCGGUCAGUUGGGCAUCUGCCUUCGGCUCAGGUCAUGGUCUCUGGGUCCUGGGAUCGAGCCCCAAGUCAGGCUUCCUGCUCAGUGGGGCGUCUGCUUCUCCCUCUGCCUCUGCCCCUCCCCACAGCUCAUUCUCUCUCUCUCUC